UGGGGAAUAUUGCACAAUGGGCGCAAGCCUGAUGCAGCCAUGCCGCGUGUGUGAAGAAGGCCUUCGGGUUGUAAAGUACUUUCAGCGAGGAGGAAGGCGGUAAGGUUAAUAACCUUAUCGAUUGACGUUACUCGCAGAAGAAGCACCGGCUAACUCCGUGCCAGCAGCCGCGGUAAUACGGAGGGUGCAAGCGUUAAUCGGAAUUACUGGGCGUAAAGCGCACGCAGGCGGUCUGUCAAGUCGGAUGUGAAAUCCCCGGGCUCAACCUGGGAACUGCAUUCGAAACUGGCAGGCUAGAGUCUUGUAGAGGGGGGUAGAAUUCCAGGUGUAGCGGUGAAAUGCGUAGAGAUCUGGAGGAAUACCGGUGGCGAAGGCGGCCCCCUGGACAAAGACUGACGCUCAGGUGCGAAAGCGUGGGGAGCAAACA
rnacentral:rRNA from 1 species